rnacentral:lncRNA from 1 species
CUGAUUCCCAGCGGUUAAUGCCUUAUAUAAGGCUGAACAGCUAGUUCUUGGCCUAGCUGGGACAAGAACCAAGACGUAGAACUCACAUCAAUGAUAAAUGACCAAUGGACUGAGACAGAUUCAAUGACAAAAACACAGAAGAUAGAUACUUAAUUGAUUAUAUCUCAGAGAAAUCCACCAGGAAAACAAAACAGAACUGCUGCUUCAUGUGUUCCAAGAUUCAUUGUUGAUGCACCACUCCCAGUGUCCAUUACACUUUAUCAGAGAGAUUGAC